rnacentral:ncRNA from 1 species
GGGGACAUGAAAAUGCCCCCAAAUCAGUGUGUGAAUAGCGAAAUCCUAUUAGCCGGGAACGCGGUUCGUGAAGC